rnacentral:lncRNA from 1 species
CAAAUGGCAAAUAUCGGCACUAUUCACAAUAGCAAAGACAUGCAAUCAAUCUAGGAGCCCAUAAACAGUGGAUUGCAUAAAGAAACUGUGGUACGUAUGCACUAUGGAAUACUACACAGCCAUAAAACUGAAUGUAAUAAUGUCCUUUGCAGCAAUAUGGAUGCAGUUUCGGUCAUUAUACGAAGCAAACUAACACAGAAACAGAAAACAAAACAUCACUUGUUGUCACUUAUAAAUGUAGUGAGGUUUGCUACACAUAAAGAUAGCAAGAAC